AGAGUUUGAUCAUGGCUCAGGACGAACGCUGGCGGCGUGCUUAACACAUGCAAGUCGAGCGGAAAGGCCCUUCGGGGUACUCGAGCGGCGAACGGGUGAGUAACACGUGAGUAAUCUGCCCUUAGCUCUGGGAUAGCUCCGGGAAACCGGGAUUAAUACCGGAUACGACCACCUUAGACAUCUUUUGUGGUGGAAAGAAUUUCGGCUAGGGAUGAGCUCGCGGCCUAUCAGCUUGUUGGUGGGGUAACGGCCUACCAAGGCGACGACGGGUAGCCGGCCUGAGAGGGCGACCGGCCACACUGGGACUGAGACACGGCCCAGACUCCUACGGGAGGCAGCAGUGGGGAAUAUUGCGCAAUGGGCGAAAGCCUGACGCAGCGACGCCGCGUGGGGGAUGAAGGCCUUCGGGUUGUAAACCCCUUUCAGCAGGGACGAAGCGAAAGUGACGGUACCUGCAGAAGAAGCGCCGGCUAACUACGUGCCAGCAGCCGCGGUAACACGUAGGGCGCAAGCGUUGUCCGGAAUUAUUGGGCGUAAAGAGCUCGUAGGCGGUCUGUUGCGUCCGCUGUGAAAACUCGGGGCUUAACCCCGAGCCUGCAGUGGAUACGGGCAGACUAGAGGUAGGUAGGGGAGAAUGGAAUUCCCGGUGUAGCGGUGAAAUGCGCAGAUAUCGGGAGGAACACCGGUGGCGAAGGCGGUUCUCUGGGCCUUACCUGACGCUGAGGAGCGAAAGCGUGGGGAGCGAACAGGAUUAGAUACCCCUGUAGUCC
rnacentral:rRNA from 1 species